rnacentral:pre_miRNA from 1 species
GAUUCUGAACAAGAAUGCUGAGAGGAUUCUGAACGAAAAUCUUCUCAGUAUUUUUGUCAGAAUCC